rnacentral:rRNA from 1 species
CAGUAGCCGCGGGAAUACGUAGGUCCCGAGCGUUGUCCGGACUUAUUGGGCGUAAAGCGAGCGCAGGCGGUUAGAUAAGUCUGAAGUUAAAGGCUGUGGCUUAACCAUAGUACGCUUUGGAAACUGUUUAACUUGAGUGCAAGAGGGGAGAGUGGAAUUCCAUGUGUAGCGGUGAAAUGCGUAGAUAUAUGGAGGAACACCGGUGGCGAAAGCGGCUCUCUGGCUUGUAACUGACGCUGAGGCUCAAAAGCGUGGGGAGCAAACAGGAUUAGAUACCCGUGUAGUCCCUGUCUCUUAUACC